UAAUAAGAAGCAAAAUUUGCAUUUAGUUUCGACCUAAAAAUUUUGAUUAUACAAGAUCCUUAUUUU
rnacentral:tRNA from 1 species